rnacentral:rRNA from 1 species
GGGGAAUAUUGGACAAUGGGCGAAAGCCUGAUCGAGCCAUGCCGCGGGUGUGAAGGAGGUCCUCGGAUUGUAAAGCACUUGAAGUUGGGAGGAAGGGCUGCAAGUUAAUACCUUGUAGUUUUGACGUUAACAACAGAAUAAGCACCGGCUAACUUCGUGCCAGCAGCCGCGGUAAUACGAAGGGUGCAAGCGUUAAUCGGAAUUACUGGGCGUAAAGCGCGCGUAGGUGGUUUGGUAAGAUGGAUGUGAAAUCCCCGGGCUCAACCUGGGAACUGCAUCCAUAACUGCCUGACUAGAGUACGGUAGAGGGUGGUGGAAUUUCCUGUGUAGCGGUGAAAUGCGUAGAUAUAGGAAGGAACACCAGUGGCGAAGGCAGCCAUCUGGCCUAAUACUGACGCUGAGGUACGAAAGCAUGGGGAGCAAACA